rnacentral:tRNA from 1 species
GGAGAUGCUGGCCGGGCGCAGCGGCCGGCUGCUCGACGCGGUCAAGAGCCAGGGGCGCAACGGCUAUCGGGCGUUCGAGGAACCCUUCAUCGCCU